rnacentral:rRNA from 1 species
UACAGAGGGUGCGAGCGUUAAUCGGAAUUACUGGGCGUAAAGCGUGCGUAGACGGUUAUUUAAGUCGGAUGUGAAAGCCCCGGGCUCAACCUGGGAAUUGCAUUCGAGACUGAAUAGCUAGGGUGCGGUAGAGGGAAGCGGAAUUUCCGGUGUAGCGGUGAAAUUCGUAGAUAUUCGGAAGAACACCAGUGGCGAAGGCGACUAACUGGACAUGUAUUGACGCUGAGGUGCGAAAAGCGUGGGGAGCAAACAGG